UGACCUCGAAUCAGGUAGGAAUACCCGCUGAACUUAAGCAUAUCAAUAAGC
rnacentral:rRNA from 1 species